UACAGAGGGGGCAAGCGUUGUUCGGAAUUACUGGGCGUAAAGGGCGCGUAGGCGGCCUGCUAAGUCGAACGUGAAAUCCCCGGGCUCAACCCGGGAACUGCGUCCGAUACUGGCAGGCUUGAAUCCGGGAGAGGGAUGUGGAAUUCCAGGUGUAGCGGUGAAAUGCGUAGAUAUCGGGAGGAACACCGGUGGCGAAGGCGGCGACCUGGGUCGAGACUGACGCUGAGGCGCGAAAGCGUGGGGAGCAAACAGG
rnacentral:rRNA from 1 species